rnacentral:RNase_P_RNA from 1 species
GGGAAACCCACGACCAGUGCAACAGAGAGCAAACCGCCGAUGGCCCGCGCAAGCGGGAUCAGGUAAGGGUGAAAGGGUGCGGUAAGAGCGCACCGCGCGGCUGGUAACAGUCCGUGGCACGGUAAACUCCACCCGGAGCAAGGCCAAAUAGGGGUUCAUAAGGUACGGCCCGUACUGAACCCGGGUAGGCUGCUUGAGCCAGUGAGCGAUUGCUGGCCUAGAUGAAUGACUGUCCACGACAGAACCCGGCUUAUCGGUCAGUUUCACCU